ACCCUUCUCCCAACUCCUCAUCUCAUGCGGCUUCUCCAUCCAACUCCUCUCCGGCCUCCAGAUCCGGGGCGUCAACAAGGCUGUGUACUCCUGGAGAAAUUGAUCGUCAGGGUUUCCGCGGAAGUAAUUUGGAGUCAACUAGCGUGAAAUACGAUUUUUUUUUCUCAUACCCGCACGAAGCCACUGCCUUGGGUGAUCUCGGCAACGGCCAGGGAGUUAGGUUUGGCAGCUCGAGGAGGGAGGGUAGAGACGGGAGAGGUGGCGGCGAGCGGGCAGCGGAGGAUGGUCGGUGAGCUCGGGAUGGACGUGCAGUGGCUCAGGGAGGGAAGGUGGUGGGAUUGAGAAGCAAGGCGAGCCUCGGGGUGGCACAGGCGAGCUUCAGAGGGCAGUGUGCAGCAGAGGCCUUUUUCCUCCUUCCAUUCUUUCCCUAUUUUCAUCCGAAUACACAACUUUCUCCCUCUUUUUUCCUCUCCCUCCCUCUCCCUUCCCUCCUUUCUCUCCUCCCCUCAUUUCUCUUCUUCCCCUUCUCUUCCUUUCUCCCUGAAUGCACACUGUGUAAGCAACACUAAGUUCAUCGCGGUCUUGAUAUUUUGUUUGUUAAAAUUAGAAAAUUGAAUAGACAAAUUAUCUCUCUGUUUUCAGCCUUUACAAUUGUUUCUUUGAUGAAUCAAUAUAAUUUGGCUUACUUCUUUUUCCAUCUUCUAUAUACUGAAAAUGGAAAAGGAUUCAAGUUUCUCACGAGGAAGUGAAAUGUCUCUACUGGAGCAAUUUGAAGGUAUAUUGGAAGGAGAUAAACUCAUUGAUGAAAUAGGUUUCUUGGGCCCAUCUCAGUUUGCUUCACUAGAUCAGGAUUUAAGUGGUUCUUCUCUUGACCAGUGCACUCCUAUUCAGUUGGCUGAUUGCAUCUGCUCAGGAAAACUCUGAUCACCUUCUUGAAGAUGAAAUUCUAAAACACACGAAGGCCUUACUGAUUUUAAGCUGCAACUUCAGCAGUGCUUGGAAUGACAGGUGGAUACAGGACAGUCGAGAUCAGUACACUAAGGAGCGUCUGGAUUCAGUAAUUGAUCAGUACACUAAGCGUCUGGAUUCAGUAACUACUGUACUAUUUUGAGAAAACAGAUUGUUGGCUACUUCAGUAUUCAGUAUUCAGUAAACUGAUUGUUAGCUAAACAGAUUGUAGCUGUUCAAAACAGAUUUUUUGUGCUCUUUUGUUUUAUAUGUGAAUAUCACUAUAUACUUUGAAACAGAAUUAGUGUUAAUUUUGAUAUUUA